rnacentral:rRNA from 1 species
CAGUCGCCGCGGUAAUACGUAGGGUGCAAGCGUUAAUCGGAAUUACUGGGCGUAAAGCGUGCGCAGGCGGCUUUUUAAGUCGGAUGUGAAAUCCCUGAGCUUAACUUAGGAAUUGCAUUCGAUACUGGGAAGCUAGAGUAUGGGAGAGGAUGGUAGAAUUCCAGGUGUAGCGGUGAAAUGCGUAGAGAUCUGGAGGAAUACCGAUGGCGAAGGCAGCCAUCUGGCCUAAUACUGACGCUGAGGUACGAAAGCAUGGGGAGCAAACAGGAUUAGAUACCCGCGUAGUCCCUGUCUCUUAUAC